rnacentral:lncRNA from 1 species
CUCCUACUGCGUUUUUUUUAUGUUUUUUUUUUUUUCUGCCCUUGAAAUAUUGCUCAAAUCUGGUCUCCUCCUCUUUCACCCUCUGGGCAUUUGCUCUUGCUUUAGGGCUCUCUCUCCUCAUUUACAGCCCGGUCUGUAGAAGAGCCCUGCUGAGCUAUAUGGGAGACUUGAGGCAAGGAAAACUGCCCCCCUAGGGAUCAAACCCCAUGAGUACUAACUAGUCAGAUUUGUUUCCGCUGAGCCAUGAUGGGAACUCCAAGACUGCCUCUUUGCCCAGGCCACAUCUUCUGCCCGAGUUGUGGUCUUGUCCCCAAACCCCUUCACCUUAGACAUUACUUCUUAGCUCUGGAGUUCCACCUGGGGGAACACCUCCUGACCCCCUGCUUGGGUUCCUCAAGCCGGCUCCAUUGCUCUUUUUCCAGAGAAAUCUGUUUCCAUUCAACUCCCGGCUGUUAGGCUCAUGAUUCUGCUGUGAUUUAUCUGUUUACCUGUGUCCUCAGUUACACUGCCAGCUCUCCUUGAGGAGAGCAAGCGGGCUUUUCAUGUCAAAUGAAUAAUGAAUACAAUUGGAUACAGUGAAAGGAGCAGUAACGGACUAUGAAAUAAUUCAUGAAACACAAUAGCACAGCCCAGAGGCUCUGCUCGAAUGUCACACGAUCCUGAGUUCAAAUGUUAGUUGUCAUCAGUUAGCAUUGUGACACUGUAAAUAUUUUCAGAUUUUUUUACUAUGGAAACUUUCAAACAUAAGCAAAAGUAGAGAGAACCCUCUAGUGAGCCCACACGGGCCCACCCUGCAACUACCCCAGUCAACUUCUGGCCAAUCGUGUUUCUUUUCUCUUUUUUUUUUUUUUUUGUCUUUUUGCUAUUUCUUUGGGCCGCUCCCGAGGCAUAUGGAGGUUCCCACUCCAAACCAAUCGUGUUUCUUAGAGUGCCCCAACCUCCACCCCCAUCCCUGGAUUUUGGGGAAGCAAAUGCCAGACAACAUAUUAUUCCACAUGGAAUUAUUGCAGUCAUUACAGUAAACUAUGAAUUGAUUGCAAACUCUAUAUGAACCAUGUGCAAAAAAGAGCUGGCAAUGGGUUGGGGUCACGGGGAGACCCUUUUAAAGCAAGCCUUGAAGGAUGGAUAUGGAUUUUGGCAAAGAACAUUUGUAAAUGGGAAGCUGUAAGCCAUGUGAGCCGCACGGGGUCUGCAGAUUGUUUUUGCUCGAACCCCUGUCAGGAUGGGGAGAGGGAACUCGAGGGAAAACCUAGGUGUGGAACAGAGGGGGGCCAGCCCCCUGAUGCCUUUUAGGAGGAGGGAUGGGCUGGGGGAUCUUUUAGUUUUAGGUAACAUUGUGCUCCUCUGAAAGUCUGCACUCACAGUUGUGAAAUGAGGCGAGGACAUUAGUAAUACUGAUUUUGUGCCCUUCGGCUGUCUCUCAAAGCAUUUUCCUUCGUAACCCAUUUCUCCUUUUACAGGGAAAGAAAUUGUCACAGCACCUUUAAAGAAACUGGCUCCUGUACCAACUGCCAGGUUUUAGUCAGGGAGAAACGGGAACUCAGUUUUCCAUGCUCAGCCCUGCACUGAGGUGACCUGGCAACUGUGCAUUUUAUCCCACUGGGUUUAAUCCUUAUUAUGAAUAACAGAGCGAAGCUUUGUUAUUCACCAGAAUGGAUUUCUGCUGCUGGGAGAAUUAGCUGCAGUCUUAUUCGCAAGGAACCUUCUGAUGCAAUGAGGUCUUUUGAACCGUGCAUAAAUAAAUAGAGGCUAUUGUUUAGGCUUUUGGAGGUAAGGCUUAAAACUGCUCCAGAAGUUCCAGUCAGACUUCAAGUAUCUUUGUUUGGCUGAUUUUUUUUUUUUUUUCUAGUAGUAGUUUUCUCCAUAUUGCUUUAGCAGCCUGACUCUUCGUCAACUCCUAAAACUAGGGCACAACCAACCCUUUAUCUGGAGACUUUUAUGCUUAGAGAGGACGAAAUUCUGGGUCCAAAAAAAAAAAAAA